ensembl:lncRNA
GAGGACCAGGCAACGCCCAACAGGGAUGCUGCUCUGGGCCAAGGCCAGAACCCGCCCCUCCACCCUAUCGCCCCCCUCCCCUCGACCCCGCUCACCCUCAGCAUCGCUCACCCUUGCGCACCUUCCAGCCAAGGGGAGGAGGAGGAUGGAUGCGCGGGCAGGAGAGGGGAGGAGGGGGAGGAUGGGAGGGAGGGACAGGGGUGAGGCUGUGUGAGUUGCUGCAGGCAGGGGGGGUGAGUGUCAGACCACUGGGGAAGCACUUAGCCAUCUCUCUGCCCUCGCUUCCUCUGCGUCUCUGGGAUACACAAGUCACACACACCUCACACUCCGCACACCUUGAACCCACUCACACACAGCCUCCCCCACCUCCUCCCCCUCCGACCUCUAAUCCACCCCUGUCUUCCCCUCUGGAAGCCUCCGGGCAAAGGAAACCUCUCACGCCGCUCUGGCAACCACCGCGGCCCCAUUCCCCCGCGGGCGCUGCUCAGCAUUGGCCGAGGGAAGAAGCCGCCUCAGAGACACGUCAUUGGUCCUCCUGGAGUUUGGACCGCCCCGACGCAGUGGUGACGCCGUAUGAGACGCCUCCAGACCGCUGCAUUCCCAUCAGGCCGCAGGCAUCCAGUCAAAACUACAGCUACAGUUGCCAGUCCUCUCCAGGUCACUACAGCUCCCAGCAUGCCCCAGGGCGACACAGUAAUCCCUGCUGUGACCGAGAAGAGGCUGAGCUUUCUGAGCUUGAUUCCCUUUACCAGGCCAGUUUGCUGGCUGGAAAGACAGGCUGCAGCCCAUCGGAGAGGCUCAUAUCCAGGGUGGGAGGGCAGGCUCGCUCCAAGACCCCCAACGCAGACAUGGAGAGGAGUGUGUACGGGGCGGACUGCACCAGCACCCCCACCUACCUCAACAAGCCAAUGAUGUUGCGGGAUUUUGGGGUGGAGCCUGAUGAUGGGGAAAACCUGAGGAGAAUUGGACGCAGCCUGAGCGGCACAGUAGUGACCUCGCGCCGCAGCCGCCUGACUGCAACCCGCAGCUUUGAGCUGUCGGGCAGUUCAGGGAGUUUCUGGCUGUGUCUGACGGGGGUCAAGCUGUCCUCAGACCAGGGUCCUUCAGUGCUUCACUAAUAUCUUACCGCAACCCAUCCACGUGGGGCACAAGUGCCGGGGUCCACAACAGCUUCACUUUGACGGACCUGGAAUCGGCUCAGGAGGAUCGACUUAGCUCCUAUCCUGUUCCUCCUCCUCCUCCUUCAAACGACAUGCACACGCAAACACAUGCACGCACACAUGCACAUCUGCACUGACGUAGAGCCUCCCUCAGCGCCUGCAGCACCCUGCUUUAGCCCCUUCUUGCCUUCCUCCCUUCCUCCUCCCCCUACUAUUCUGUCUAUGCAGUCACUCUGACCCCCAACUACAACCUCAACCUUUCCCCCUACUUUCCGGGACUGUUUCUCGUCUCCCCCUGGGGUUUUCAGAGGGUUUCCAGGUGAGCUUGCUGCUUUUAGCAGUCGCUCACCAACCGCAUCCAACUGGGACUAGAGCUCUCAGUAGACUCGCCCUCCAACCCACAGGACCUUUAGCUCAGGGGGGGGACUCUAACCAAGUAGCCACGCCUCUUCCUCUCUCUUCACGGGCAUUUCUUGUUGGACGCACACGUAGCUGAACUAGGUCUGUUUCAGAUGGACAGCCAUAUUUUUUUCUCUUUUUGUUUUCGGGUUUGUUUUUCUUCCUGUGUGUGCGCACAGUUAAUCUGCCGAGACUGAACUCUCUAUUAACUAAGUCGUGUACAGAAAACUCACAUAUGAAACCUGUAUGUUAAUUAAUAAGACCUUAUGGAAUGUUGAUAAUGAUAAUUAACAAAUAUUGAUAAACUUAAAGUGAUACUUCCUCAUGUCUGCAUUUCAAAUAGGAGUGGAGUGCACUUCACAAGUGUCUAGCUGGAGUUUCUGCCCCCAAACCGCUCGCCGACCUAAUGACAGCUCUCCCGUUUCUACCGGGAGCUUGAACAAGAAAAGCGCUUCCUUUUUUCUCUGCUUCUUUCCCUCUUCUUUUCUUUCUGCUCUUCUUUUCUUGCUCUCUUAUAUUCUCGCUUGCUUUCUUUGUUCCAAACAGGAAACAGUAGCACCAGAAAUAGGCCAGCAGCGGAGGAAAGUCUAGAAGGAAUGAGAGAAUGUAGGUUAGGAAACCCUUCUCUUAGGCUUUUAACAAUGAAAACAGAUGACUCAAGUGCACUUUGCAAGGUGACUCGGCAGAAGUGCACUUUCUGAAGGCUAUUUGAACGUGGAGCAGCUGGAGAGAAGUCGAUGCCGUUUGUUUUCACUCCAAGGCCUCAGGUGAACUUCAGUGACACUUAUGAAUUCACACUUUAUUAUUCCCCUCCCUCCUCCCACUGAAACUGGUUUUGAGACCUCAGAUGUGUUCAGAAAAAUGCUCAUCUUCAACCUGAGACAGUGACAUGUCUAAUACGAACAUGCUUUAUACGAUAGAUAUGUAUUAGAGGUAUAUUUUCAGCCAGUGAGCUAUCAGAGAUGUCAACCAUUCCUCAGUUGUAUGAACAGUUAUUACAACUUAAUUCACUCUUCCCUUUAUUGGGUAGCAUUCUGAUGUGUGUAGAGUACUUUUAUUAUAUGCUUUAUUCUGUUAAAUAUCAUAUAAAUUAACAAAGUCCUUAUUAAACAAAAGGCCAAUGUAAUGUUCUUUAAGAUUUCACUGAUGUUGAUUGAACGUUGUAACUAAACCAAAGGAUGGCACCUAACUCAGAGAGUGUAAGUAAGAAUUUAUUUUUCCAUUUAGGUUCAGAUUUUGUGGUUGUAUUUUAGUUUUUUUCUUCGUUUUUUGUUUUUGGAUUUUUUUGUUGUUUUUUUUGGAUGUGGGAGAAUGUAGCCAAUUGUAGCGCAUGAGUCCGCUAUGCAAAUCAACCUUCCCUCACAGUCCUUUACUGGAGACAGUCAGGAGGCAGACACGCCCACCCCUCACGGGUGCUCUCAUGGACUCUGGCAGAGACACGGAGAGGAGGAAGAGAUGAUCUCAUGUUUAUUGCUGCUGGUGAACUUUGUUGUUCUGCAUCUACUGCUAUGUUUCAACCAAUGGAAUGCAAAAAGAGAGCAACGAGGACGCAGAGAGCAAGAGGGAGAAAGAGAGCGAAUGAAUGUAAACUAAAGGAUGAAAGUGUGUGUUUGCGUUAGAGGAGGGUGGGAAGCUAACUGACAAAGAUGGUUAUUUGUGGGUGUGUGUAGACUUUAUGUGUCAGUUCUGGGGUGGUGUUGCUCGGGGAAAGAGGGAACCUGUAUUUUUGCAAUAAAGUUAUUAACAAUGCACUCCCAAAGGGGGGCGUAACCACCGUAACGUGUGUUUCAUUAUUCGUUUGUGGGGGAGGAGAGCGAAAAGAACUUAACUUUCAAGAAAAAAUAAACCAACACCAGUCUGGUCCUAAUAGCGGGAAAACUAAAUAUGCUCUUAAGCAGUGUUUUUCAUAUAUUUAUAUAUAAUAUACUAAUCUACAGCUAAAAUAUUCCUCAAAUAUAGAAAAUUUAAGAAUUUUUGGUCAGUGAAACUAAUAAUAAUGCUUAAAAUUGGUGUUUCUGCCCUUCAAAAAACUUUAAAUAUUACACAAAGAUAUUUGUGUGAACACAAAAUGCAGUUUCUAAUGAAGAUGUUUAUUAUUAAGGGGGGAAAAAAAUCCAAAUCUACAUGACCCUGUGUGAAAAACUGACUGCCCCCUCAAACCUCAAAUGAAGUUGGUUAGGAUGUUCAGGAACAGCCCAGCAACCGCCAAGGCUCAAGUCUGCCAUGAACUGGCAACUGUGCGAAAACCAGUGUCACUGUCCACAGUGAAGCAAGUUUUACUGUACAUCACCAUGGACCGAGAGCAUGCCAACCAAGAAAGAAGCCCCAGUUACAAAUUCUACACCUUCAAGCUUGAUUUCCAGCUGCACACAUGGACAAACCAAAUGCCUUCUGGAGAAAACAAAACAUAUGCAUAUGUAUGGAUCAUUAAAGGUUAGACUUUAGACACUGUAUAGACUGUCAAGCGUGGUGGUGGUGGUAGCGUGCUGUGGUACUUUUUUUUGCUAUCAGUAAUCUUGAUACAUUCCACAAAGUGGAUGGAAUAAUGAAGAAGGAGGACGAUCUCCAAAUUCUUCAACUUCCCCACAAUUUAACAGCUAGAUGCUUAAAACUUAGGCAUAAUUAGUUGUUCUAAUAGGACAGUGGUCUAAAACCCGUUUUGGAAUCCAUCAAGCAGGAUGACAUUACACUUCUGGAAUGGCCUUACCAUAGUGGUGAUUCUCAGCCCUACUUAAAAUUUAUGGGCUAUGCUUAAAAGCGGGGUCUUUGCCAAGAAACCAACCAGUUUGAAUGAACUCUACCAGUUCUACCAAGAAGAGUGGUCAAAUAUUCAGCUGUAAUUAUGCCAGAAGUUUAUUGAUGGCUACCAAAAGUCUCUGGUUGAGGUGCAACUUGCUAAGGGACAUUUAACCAAAUAUUAGUGGGAGUUUAUGUAUACAUUUGACCUUCUGACUAUAACUGUAAAUAUGAAAGAUGUGUGUGUGUGUGUGUGUGUGUGUGUGUGUGUGUGUUUGUGGGGGUGGUGUUUGCAAUAAGUAUAGCAGAAUUAAAGAUUUAAUAACUUAAAUAUUCAAAAACAAAAUAAAAAAUAUUAUGUAUAUUCUAAUACAAAAAAAAUUAAUUUAUUCAGGGAUUGUUUAGCU